GAUGAGCCAGAAUUGGCACCUUGUCUUUAAAUAAGGUGCAAAAUGAUUUUAACUGAAGAGUUUGAUCAUGGCUCAGAUUGAACGCUGGCGGCAGGCUUAACACAUGCAAGUCGAGCGGAGAGAGGUAGCUUGCUACUGAUCUUAGCGGCGGACGGGUGAGUAAUGCUUAGGAAUCUGCCUAUUAGUGGGGGACAACAUCUCGAAAGGGAUGCUAAUACCGCAUACGUCCUACGGGAGAAAGCAGGGGAUCUUCGGACCUUGCGCUAAUAGAUGAGCCUAAGUCGGAUUAGCUAGUUGGUGGGGUAAAGGCCUACCAAGGCGACGAUCUGUAGCGGGUCUGAGAGGAUGAUCCGCCACACUGGGACUGAGACACGGCCCAGACUCCUACGGGAGGCAGCAGUGGGGAAUAUUGGACAAUGGGGGGAACCCUGAUCCAGCCAUGCCGCGUGUGUGAAGAAGGCCUUAUGGUUGUAAAGCACUUUAAGCGAGGAGGAGGCUACUUUAGAUAAUACCUAGAGAUAGUGGACGUUACUCGCAGAAUAAGCACCGGCUAACUCUGUGCCAGCAGCCGCGGUAAUACAGAGGGUGCAAGCGUUAAUCGGAUUUACUGGGCGUAAAGCGCGCGUAGGCGGCUAAUUAAGUCAAAUGUGAAAUCCCCGAGCUUAACUUGGGAAUUGCAUUCGAUACUGGUUAGCUAGAGUGUGGGAGAGGAUGGUAGAAUUCCAGGUGUAGCGGUGAAAUGCGUAGAGAUCUGGAGGAAUACCGAUGGCGAAGGCAGCCAUCUGGCCUAACACUGACGCUGAGGUGCGAAAGCAUGGGGAGCAAACAGGAUUAGAUACCCUGGUAGUCCAUGCCGUAAACGAUGUCUACUAGCCGUUGGGGCCUUUGAGGCUUUAGUGGCGCAGCUAACGCGAUAAGUAGACCGCCUGGGGAGUACGGUCGCAAGACUAAAACUCAAAUGAAUUGACGGGGGGCCGCACAAGCGGUGGAGCAUGUGGUUUAAUUCGAUGCAACGCGAAGAACCUUACCUGGCCUUGACAUAGUAAGAACUUUCCAGAGAUGGAUUGGUGCCUUCGGGAACUUACAUACAGGUGCUGCAUGGCUGUCGUCAGCUCGUGUCGUGAGAUGUUGGGUUAAGUCCCGCAACGAGCGCAACCCUUUUCCUUAUUUGCCAGCGAGUAAUGUCGGGAACUUUAAGGAUACUGCCAGUGACAAACUGGAGGAAGGCGGGGACGACGUCAAGUCAUCAUGGCCCUUACGGCCAGGGCUACACACGUGCUACAAUGGUCGGUACAAAGGGUUGCUACACAGCGAUGUGAUGCUAAUCUCAAAAAGCCGAUCGUAGUCCGGAUUGGAGUCUGCAACUCGACUCCAUGAAGUCGGAAUCGCUAGUAAUCGCGGAUCAGAAUGCCGCGGUGAAUACGUUCCCGGGCCUUGUACACACCGCCCGUCACACCAUGGGAGUUUGUUGCACCAGAAGUAGCUAGCCUAACUGCAAAGAGGGCGGUUACCACGGUGUGGCCGAUGACUGGGGUGAAGUCGUAACAAGGUAGCCGUAGGGGAACCUGCGGCUGGAUCACCUCCUUAA
rnacentral:rRNA from 1 species